AAGGGCUGCCAGUGCUCCCCUUCAGGAUGCCAGGGUGCCCUUGCCGAUGGGAAGCCUGAAGGUUCCUUUCUCAGACCCCGGACUGAGUCGGGGUGGCUCACUUGGGCUACUGAGGCAUUCGGCGCAGUGGCCUCUUUUCUGAGAGACUCCCCCUGGACGCAGUCAAAGUGUGGAGAGGGCCUUUGCCCAUUGGCGGGGCACUUAGCACCGAACACCCUUGAAGACGGGGCAGACCUGCUGCAGAUCCUGCUGGGACCCCCACACCGGUUGCGGGCAGAGCGCGUUUCCUGUGCCCGCGUGGAGUUGGAUCGGACCAGGUCUUCGGGUCCUGAUGGAAUCAGGGUUCAGAGCCCUCUGGUCAUCUUCCCUAACACUGGGCCCCUCUGGGGGUGUGGACCAGCCUUCUUUUGAGUGGGAGUUCUGGCUUCUGUAAUUGCUUCUCAGCUGGACAUGGACGCUAGCAUUAGCAGACGGAAGAAAUUGAGAGGAGACGGGGAGAUAGAGAGGAAGAGAGACAGAUUGACACCUGCAGUCCUACUUCACCACUUGUGAAGCUUCUCCUUUGCAGGGGGAGAUGACAGCAUCACCGAUCCCUCCUCGGCUCCUCCAUGCUCCCCCACACGGUGCCCGGGACUCGCACCUGUGCACACUACCAGCUGGCCAGGUAACUAUGCCAUUUCCAGAUGGAGGGAAAUUCAGAAAAGCCAUUCAGUGAGCUCAGGACUCCAGGGGGCUGAGACGAACCCCAGAAAGUCACAUGGCUGGAGCCUGCGGCCCGACACCAAGCACAGGGGUCCUUUUCAGCAGCCCUGUGACCUUAGCCCAGCCUCCUGGAAAAAUUGAUUGAAUGUCUCCAACUUUCUGAUGCACAGACCAUAGGCUAAGUAUAAGUUCCUUCAAUCUAAAGACUUCAAAUUGGUAAUCAGACUGAAUUUUAACAGUGGGCUCAAAUUGUUAAUACAUUUCUGACAAUGACUUGGUCUUUGAAAUGUUGACCCUCCUAAAAGCUUAGACCAAGGAGAACAGAAGCAACCAGUGGUGUUACUUUUAAUAAGAUACAGCUAUAUAUAAAUAACAUCAAAGGACACAAAUUAGGGUGAGGUCGUGUAUGAUACAGCAAAUCCUAACAAUGGGACUUUUCAAAGUUAACCCAAUUGCUAAAUAAUGUGAUUAGAGCAAUAACUAUCUAUUGCCUUCUUUAACCCUAAAACAGCAGGAACCUCCUGCUUCCUCUGUAAAGCCCGUAUUUCUCCCAAUCCUGGAACCUCUAGGGUGGGACUCACUUUCCCGCAUGCUUCUCUCAGUUCAUACCAACUGAUAACUGCAUCUGCUGAUCCCAACCUAAUCAAUACAAUGAGAACCACCUUGGCACAAAUCACUUCGGACUGUGUCCAGGGACUGCAGGUGUGGAAUGUCAGCAUUUCAGCCUCAUUACUCGGCCACCAGGUUCCAGACACUACCAUGAUGCCAACCGGACCUUAUUGGGCAGACGAACCCGCCAUGUGUCCUGGAGCCCUGCCUCCCCAGAGCUCUGCCACAUUAGGGAAAGAGAGAGACAGGCUGGGAGUAUGGAUCCACCUGCCAACGCCCACAUUUAACAGGAAAGCAAUGACAGAAGCCAGACCUUCCACCUUCUGCAUCCCACAAUGACCUGAGGUCCAUACUCCCAGAGGGAUGAAGAAUAGGAAAGCUAUCAGGGGAGGGGGUGGGAUGGGGCACGGAGUUCUGGUCGUGGGCACUGUGUGGAACUGUACCCCUUAUCCUAUGGUUUUGUCAGUGUUUCCAUUUUAUAAAUAAAACUUAAAAAAAAAAAAAAAAAGCCCAGCCUCCCGCCUAGGCACAGAGUGGCUGCAGACCCCGCCCCCCCCCCACAUGGAGCAUGCUCACAAGACACCAGGCACUCUGCCAUCACUGAUCCUCUUUCCCAGGCCAAGUGCGUCCAGGACGCCUGUGCACCACUGAUGCCCAGGCAGCGAGCUCCCCACCUGCGCCCCAGCUGGUUCCCGCCACCUGCCGCACAUGCGCACAGCGGACUCAGGGCGUGCCGCCCUGCCCAGACCCCACACCGGCUUUCUGCCCGAUCACCACCCGGGCCGGGAACAGGGGUCGGGGACCCAGGGCCAGAUCUGCUGUGUGGGGCCUGGGAGCAGAGAGGCGGGAAGGACCCCAACAUCAGCCGGCGCACAGCCGGGGAGGCAGAUGCAGAUGCCCUGGGCCCCAGCCAGCCCAGGUGGGCGUGGCCCCUCAGUCCCCUGGUCCCACCUCCAGACCCUCCCCCAACCCCCACCUUCCUUCCU